GGAUGUGAGGGCAAUCUGGCUGCGACAUCUGGCACCCCAUUGAUCGCCAGGGUUGAUUCUGCUCAUCUGGCUGGCUAGGUGGGUGUCCGCUUCCUCCCUCACUGCUCCAUGUGCGUCCCUCCCGAAGCUACCCUCUUGGUCGGAGACGACGCCAUCCCCCAUAAAGAAGGACCGGUCUUUGGUCAAGGGUAUACGAGUAGCUGUACUGCCCUGCUAGAACCUCCAAACAAGCUCUCAAGGUCCAAAAUGCUGGGAUUAUAGGCAUGAGCCACCGCGCCCGGCCAAAAUUAACUUCAUUUUU
ensembl:misc_RNA 7SK 7SK RNA